AUGGGUGCCUUGCUGGGGACCUGCGCAAGGGAACAUUA
rnacentral:rRNA from 1 species